rnacentral:rRNA from 1 species
GAUGAACGCUGGCGGCGUGCCUAAUACAUGCAAGUCGAGCGAACGGACGAGAAGCUUGCUUCUCUGAUGUUAGCGGCGGACGGGUGAGUAACACGUGGAUAACCUACCUAUAAGACUGGGAUAACUUCGGGAAACCGGAGCUAAUACCGGAUAAUAUUUUGAACCGCAUGGUUCAAAAGUGAAAGACGGUCUUGCUGUCACUUAUAGAUGGAUCCGCGCUGCAUUAGCUAGUUGGUAAGGUAACGGCUUACCAAGGCAACGAUGCAUAGCCGACCUGAGAGGUGGAGCGCCAACACGGGAACGGAGCCACGCCCCAGCCCACUGCGGGAGGCAGCAGAAGGGAAUUUUCCGAAAGGGGCGAAGGCCUGACGGAGCAACGCCGGGGGAGUGAGAAAGGUCUUCGGAUCGUAAACCUUUGUUAUUGGGGAAAAAAAUAUGUGUAAGAAACUGUGCACAUCUUGACGCUACCUAAACAGAAAGCCCCGGCUAACUACGUG